rnacentral:rRNA from 1 species
UAGGGAAUUUUCGUCAAUGGGCGCAAGCCUGAACGAGCAAUGCCGCGUGAACGAGGAAGGUCUUCGGAUCGUAAAGUUCUGUUUGAGAGGGAAAAAGGGUCACCAGAGGAAAUGCUGGUGAAGUGAUAUUACCUUUCGAGG